rnacentral:lncRNA from 1 species
ACCGUACAGUGUGUUCCUGGGCAUUCGGUUUCAGCCCCCUGCCCCUCCCCUCAGGAAUCCGCCCAGAGCGCUGCAGACUCCGCCUCUCCGGUUUCCUCGCCCGGCCCUUCCGACUUCCACCCAAUCCGAAGGCUGCCACACAGAAAACAAAGGCUACCAUUGGGCCGCCCUGGAGCUCGAGGACCCGCCCCCGGAGUGGCGGGCGGCGGCGGCGUCGGGCGCGGGGACUCACGGGCGAGGGCUUCGAGAGGCUGGAGAGACCAGGCCCAGGCCGCGGGCACGGGACCCUCGCAGCUUCGGACGCAGUGUAACUGGAUUUCCAGAAAGAACUCGCCGAGCUUUUGGCUCCAAGGCGCCCAUCGGACUCAGAGCGAGAAUCACCCGUUUGGCAGAAACUUGGGGGCCGAGCUUUUGGGGCUGAAGAAGGAGCGGGGGAGUAGAAAAGGAGGCGAAGGAGGAGGAGGAGGCGGCGGCGAGCAGAGCCUCGAGGCGAGGAGGCGGAGCAGCACCGCCGAGGCGGCCUCGGCUAGCAGGCGGCGGCGCCGGGCUCUCGCUUGCCGGGGGCCGGACUUGGUGUGGGGGCGCGUGCGUUUCUGUUUGCUGUGGGUCGACAGACUUUGGGCAAACUUUGAAGGGUAACCGGAGACGCUUGUUGCUCCUCGCCGCAGAAAAAGCCGCACCGUUACGUCGCAGCGGGAGAAGAAGGCGGCCCCCCUCAGCGCCCCCGACCCAGGCAGACGAAUUUGGGCUCCCCGCGGCUGCUCGAGUGCUGGGCGGAGACGGCUGCGGCGCCCCCGCGGCGCGGGCACCCCAGCUGCAGCGCGCUCAGCUCCGCGCCGCCCACGGCCCGGCC